GACGAACGCUGGCGGCGUGCUUAACACAUGCAAGUCGAACGGAAAGGCCCUGUUUCCGGGUUCUUGAGUUGCCAACCGGUGGGGAAAACGUGGGGUAUCUGCCCCUCAACUUGGGGUUAGGCCUGGGAAACGGGGCUUAUUACCGAUAAGGCCUUCCCUGUAGGGGGGGGGGGGGGAAGAUUUAUCGGUGGGGGAUGAGCCCGCGGCCUAUCAGCUUGUUGGUGGGGUAAUGGCCUACCAAGGCGUCGACGGGUAGCCGGCCUGAGAGGGUGGACGGCCACAUUGGGACUGAGAUACGGCCCAGACUCCUACGGGAGGCAGCAGUGGGGAAUAUUGCACAAUGGGCGGAAGCCUUAUGCAGCGACGCCGCGUGGGGGAUGACGGCCUUCGGGUUGUAAACCUCUUUCGACAGGGACGAAGCUUCGGUGACGGUACCUGUAUAAGAAGCACCGGCUAACUACGUG
rnacentral:rRNA from 1 species